GAUGAACGCUAGCGGCAGGCUUAAUACAUGCAAGUCGAACGGUAAGGUCUCUUCGGAGAUACAUGAGUGGCGCACGGGUGCGUAACGCGUAUGCAACCUACCUUUAACUGGGAAAUAGCCCCGAGAAAUCGGGAUUAAUGUCCCAUAUUAUUCUGAGAAUGCAUGUUCUUAGAAUGAAAGCUCCGGCGGUUAUUGAUGGGCAUGCGUGACAUUAGCUAGUUGGUGAGGUAACGGCUCACCAAGGCGACGAUGUCUAGGGGUCCUGAGAGGGUUAACCCCCACACUAGUACUGAGACACGGACCAGACGUCUACGGGAGGCAGCAGUAAGGAAUAUUGGGCAAUGGACGCAAGUCUGACCCAGCCAUGCCGCGUGAAGGAUGAAUGUCCUAUGGAUUGUAAACUUCUUUUAUGCAGGAAAAAUAUCCCGGUCGUGAACCGGGACUGAUGGUACUGUAUGAAUAAGCAUCGGCUAACUCCGUGCCAGCCGCCGCCGUAAGAC
rnacentral:rRNA from 1 species